rnacentral:rRNA from 1 species
AUUGAACGCUGGCGGCAGGCCUAACACAUGCAAGUCGAACGAGUGGCGGACGGGUGAGUAAUGUCUGGGAAACUGCCCGAUGGAGGGGGAUAACUACUGGAAACGGUAGCUAAUACCGCAUACCAUCGGAUGUGCCCAGAUGGGAUUAGCUAGUAGGUGGGGUAACGGCUCACCUAGGCGACGCUCCCUAGCUGGUCUGAGAGGAUGACCCGCCACACUGGAACUUAGACACGGUCCAGACUCCUACGGGAGUCAGCAGUGGGGAAUAUUGCACAAUGUGCGGAAGACUGAUGCAGCCAUGCGGCGUGUAUGCAGAAGGCCUUCGGGUUGUAAAGUCCUUUCUGCGGGGAGGCGUUACCCGCACAAGAAGCACCGGCUAACUCCGUGCGAGCAGCCGCGGUAAUAC